rnacentral:tRNA from 1 species
CAUCAGCGGUGACCUAAGCAAAUCCCUUUGGUUAUUCCAAAGUCUUGUUCUUAAGCUACAACUGUUUUCUUUCUCUCCGCAGUGGCUGCAGUGCUGUAUGCUGGACUCGGAACCGUGCUCUUCUCCAUGGUAAGUCCGUCUCUCCCUCUCCUUGCUGAAGAACGUGCUGUCUGUGCUACUCAUGUGGAGUGAGUAAUUCACUAGAAACCCUUGGGCAACUUGCUGCCUCUUAUAAGGUCAUAUUUAAAACCAUCACCCCCAGGAGAGUUGAUGGUCCUUCCCAGUCCACAAAAACAUUGCUUUUCCUCAAAGAGUCAAUAUGUAAGAAGAGAACAAAGGGUUAUUUAUAAGCCUCGGUACUUAUGGUAGCAGGGUGUGAUUUCAUUUUCUCUCUUAGAUCAGUCUCUUUUCUAUUCUUGCAUAACAUGGACUUUUCAUGGGGACUGGCCAGGGUCACUGUCAAUGCAUCUGGAAAAUUUUCCUUCCAUUUUGACCUGUCUCUUGCUUCAUAUCUUCACAAUUAUUUCAAGGAAUAUUUGAUUUAAAAGGUAUUACAUGCAUUUGUUUUAAAAUGCAAACAACAUAGAAGACUACAAAAUGAUAAGAUCUCUCUCUGAUUCCCUGGUCCUCAGAGGUACCACUGUAAGUAAUUUCUGGGAAUCCUUUCAGAAUUUUUUUUUGCCACAUGAGCACCAUUUCCUCUUGCAGUACUAUGGACACACUAUAUAUAAUGUUCUGCUUUGGCCUUUUCACUUAGACGUGAUGGUCUCCAUAUACUGGCAGACCUAGGUCAAGCUCACUCUUUUUCAGGGCUGCCAGGUUUUUCCAUCACUUUUAUCUUGUCACUUCUUUCAGGGAUUUUCUUAUUAUUUUAUUUAUUAUUUUUUUUGCAGUGCUGGGGCUGAUAUCCAGGGCCUCAUGCAUAUGGAGCAAGCACUCAACAAUUGAGGUACAUCUCAUUCAUUAGGUUUUUUCUAUUUUGGAAAUUUCCAGAUACAAUCAGAAGUAGAGGGAAUGGUAAAAUGAAUCCCAUAUAUUAUCAACAAGUUUUAAAACCAUCCAUGUUUUGGUUUAUCAUUUGUCUUUUUGCUGUUGUUGUUGGAAUUUUGUCGUAUCUUUUAAAUGUUGGAAAAGUUUACACCCAGGGAUUAAAGUUCAGGACACACAUUGCAGUUUUCUCAUUUCUUUUCUUGUAAUAGGAAUUGAUCUGUGCCCAUCCUCCUAUGCUCCCAUGUGCUCAGCCUUUGUGUGUUGGUGCUUGCUGUGGUGUCUCUUAUGGCCCAUUUGGUCAGUUUGUUUCCAUGUAAAAUAUACUGAUGUUCUGUUUCCUACAUGCAGGCAGAGCAAAACCUCUUGUAGGCUUAGGGUGGUCACUCAACACCAGACAUACAGCUGGAGGAGAAAACUGAGUGUGUGUGUUUUAACCAUCAGAGUUGUGAUAGGGAGUGAGGCAGGGUACCACACUUCCAAAUGCUCCUGGGAGUGGGAGUCUGAAUCCUAGCUGGGGCUUCCCUGUGUGUUGGCUGUGUCUUCAAUGGGAUCUUGAGCCCUGGUCUCCUUGGAGGAGGCUGAGCAGCUGGAUCUCUGCUCAUCUUCCUCCCCCACUUUCCUGUCUGCCCUCGAACACAUGACCUCUCCUGAGAAUCCACACUCCUAACCAACCAGUUCAUGCCUGCAGAAUCAUUAAGACUCCAUAAUCCCCUCUUGUAAGAAGAUCAAGAUAAAUUCAGGGUUUUUUGGAUGGAAGAAAGAGAGAAAAGCACUUCUGCAAAGGAGUUAGGGCUCCAGGAUGAGAGAUGAAUGCUCAGCUCCUUUUGAGUGAUGAAAUGUCCCAGUUUGUCUAGGACUGAAGUGUUUCCAAGGCCACCUAAAAAUCCUGGGAGAAUUGGAAGGAUGGGCCACUCUAGCUGUUUUUCCUUCCAAAGGUGCUCAGAUGAGACCUAGGGAUAAAGGGCUAAGGGACUGAGCACUUCAGGUGAGACACCUGCUCUGGCAUCUCCCUCAGAGAUGCACUAAUAUAACCAAGACUCAGUGAAAUCUGGCCCACCGCCACUGGGUCGUUCCCACACUACGUGAGAUAGCACCUGCCAUAAACCUGGUGUGAGGCUGCCCAGGAAGUAGCCAAUAACUCAUCCUGUUCCUCCCCUCCAUUUCCCCUCUCCCCCCUCUUCCUCCUGAACUCCUUGGGAAAGGUUUCACUGAAGUGAAUAUUGCUCUCAAAUCUAUCCUUUAAAAAAUCUUUAAAAAUUUUAUAGUUAUAGGUGGACACAAUAUCUUUAUUUUAUUUUUAUGUGGUGCUGAGGAUGGAACUCAGUGCCCCAUGCAUGCUAGGCAAGCACUCUACCUCUGAGGCACAACCCCAGCCCUUAAAAAAAAAAAUCUUUAAAACUCCAAGGAUUCUCUUUACUUUCAGUGUUGGAGAUUUGGCCUAGAUUCUGGAUAUAAGUAACUGCUCACUUUGCAGCAAACACAAAAAUGAGAGAGGCACGGUGACUUUUAAAAAAAUCUUGACAUUUUUUAAGACCUGAUAAUUUUACCUACUGCAGCUGAACGAAAACCUUUCUUUAGGGAAUGCCUUAAUCACAUGGGAGUCCCCUCUCUUCCUCUUUCUAUUUUGGAUAUACAAGCACCAUUAAUUACUAAACCAUCCCCAGUGGCAAGGUUUGCUGUUACCCAAAGCUCCAUGAAUUCAGAUUUAUUUUUACUGUGUGAAUCAAGUGUUUGGGAAGCUCUUUGAUUAUUUGUUUAGCAAGGACAUGGAAGGAAAUCAUGAAUAGAAGGCAUUUGGUAGUUUAAUCUCUGUGUCUACUUUGUCCACUGGGUCCACAUAAGUAACCAAAGGUACAAAGAUUUUGGAUUUGGCUCAGAUCUGGUCCCACAGGCUUCAGGAAGAUAAGGCACUUGGUUUUAUAGAGUAUAAACUUGGGGACUUCAUGAAUGAUUGAUGCCGAAAGAGUAAUAUAUUCAGCCCAAAACUGACUUUCUAGAGUAUUUUUGUGACAUAGGUAAAAUAGCUUUUUUUCUAGAGCAUUUAGGACAUUUGGUUUGAUAGACAGGUACGAUUGAAGUAGCUAAUUCUUCUUCCUUUCCUUUAAGUACCUGGUGAUGGAUGUGCAGCUCAUGGUGGGAGGGCGUCAUCACCACUCUGACCUGGACCCAGAAGAAUACGUUUUUGCUGCCCUGAACAUCUACUUGGAUAUCAUCAACCUCUUCAUUUUUAUUUUGCAACUGAUUGGACUGGGACGGUAGUGGUCCAGCCAAGGCUAGCUUGUGCUGAGAAGCAGGAAGGAGGGACACUUGUGACGUGUUGCCAGGCUCAGACACGCAAAGGUUACCACUUCCUAAACCCUUUUAUUUAAAAAAACAAUAUUUAAGAACAUUUUUGUUUGUCAAAGUUAAGCAUUUAAAGGUAGCUGUUGCUAUUCUUCUUACUUUUAGUUCCACUCUCACAUAGCAAAACUUUUGGAGGACAUUUCAGAUUUUUAUAAAUUCAAAGAAAUGAGUAUCAUACUUAAAAUAUUUGUAAGAUGCCCAUUAUUUUGUUCAAGUUUUCCAGGCACCAUUUCUGUACACAUCUCUCUACAU